UACGUAGGGUGCAAGCGUUGUCCGGAAUUAUUGGGCGUAAAGAGCUCGUAGGCGGUCUGUCGCGUCGGCUGUGAAAUCCCGAGGCUCAACCUCGGAGUCUGCAGUCGAUACGGGCAAACUAGAGUAUUGCAGGGGAGACUGGAAUUCCUGGUGUAGCGGUGAAAUGCGCAGAUAUCAGGAGGAACACCGGUGGCGAAGGCGGGUCUCUGGGCAAUAACUGACGCUGAGGAGCGAAAGCGUGGGGAGCGAACAGG
rnacentral:rRNA from 1 species